rnacentral:rRNA from 1 species
AUAAUGGGUCAGCGACUUAUAUUCUGUAGCAAGGUUAACCGAAUAGGGGAGCCGAAGGGAAACCGAGUCUUAACUGGGCGUUAAGUUGCAGGGUAUAGACCCGAAACCCGGUGAUCUAGCCAUGGGCAGGUUGAAGGUUGGGUAACACUAACUGGAGGACCGAACCGACUAAUGUUGAAAAAUUAGCGGAUGACUUGUGGCUGGGGGUGAAAGGCCAAUCAAACCGGGAGAUAGCUGGUUCUCCCCGAAAGCUAUUUAGGUAGCGCCUCGUGAAUUCAUCUCCGGGGGUAGAGCACUGUUUCGGCAAGGGGGUCAUCCCGACUUACCAACCCGAUGCAAACUGCGAAUACCGGAGAAUGUUAUCACGGGAGACACACGGCGGGUGCUAACGUCCGUCGUGAAGAGGGAAACAACCCAGACCGCCAGCUAAGGUCCCAAAGUCAUGGUUAAGUGGGAAACGAUGUGGGAAGGCCCAGACAGCCAGGAUGUUGGCUUAGAAGCAGCCAUCAUUUAAAGAAAGCGUAAUAGCUCACUGGUCGAGUCGGCCUGCGCGGAAGAUGUAACGGGGCUAAACCAUGCACCGAAGCUGCGGCAGCGACGCUGAUGCGUUGUUGGGUAGGGGAGCGUUCUGUAAGCCUGCGAAGGUGUGCUGUG